GCAGAAGUGCCGAGUCCCGGCCGGGGGCAGCCUCGCCGCCGCUCAGCUCGGGAAUCCCUGCCCCCCACCAGCACCUCAGUGGGGGAUACUGCAAGUUCAAGAAUUGGGGCCAGGAUCAGGUGGUGACAGAGCCACCUGGGUUUCCGGAGACUCUCAAGCCAACCCCAAGUCAUGACAAAUGCCAGUCGCCUUGGACAGAGGCAAGGGCCUGGACGCAGAGACCAGAGGCCUGAACUGGCAGACUGUCCUCACAGGCUGUGUGACGCUGGCUGGUCGUCCCAUCUCUCUGGGGCCCCACAGGACUGGGGACCAGGUCGUGGAAUGACAGUGGACCACAGUGGUCCGGGGACCCCGCUCGUUGGUGGCAGGCACAGGCCCGUGUGAUGGGGACAAUGAGCUUUGGUGGUUUAAGGCGUGAAUGAAUGAAGGAGCAAGCAGUAAGCCCCGACAGCAAGGCCACCACAGCCCUCGCCCCACAGGGACGCCUGAGCAAGGACCCAAGCAGGGGACAAGCAGGCUCACCCCGCCCUUGCGGGGCUGACCACGAGGCCCCGUCCGGUGGAACACGCCAUGACGCUUCAGGAGGCUCAUGUAGCUGGCGCCGUAUGGGACAGCGGGGGAGAGAGAAAAUGCACAGCCCAGGGAAUGUGGAGACAGGCCCAGCGCCAGGCAUGGGGGCCGGAAGGAGCAGCCGGGGAGCAGGGGGCAGGGCCUGGAGUCCCGCCUUGCAGAUCUGAACCUGCCCCAGCCCCAGGACUCUGAGUGCAGCAAGAGGG
rnacentral:lncRNA from 1 species